rfam:Candidatus Campbellbacteria bacterium RIFCSPHIGHO2_12_FTLL_35_10 rifcsphigho2_12_scaffold_14704, whole genome shotgun sequence.
GUCCCCAUAGUUUAAUGGAUAAAACGUAACUUUGCGGAAGUUAUGAUCUAGGUUCGAUUCCUAGUGGGGGCA